AGAAACUCAACAUGCCGGCAAAAGGGCCAUCAAAUUCCAAACAGGCAACCAGAGCCUCUGAAGAUGGCCCCUUCUUCUGGGGAUCCUCACAUAGGCCUCGGAGGAAGCUCUGACUGCCGUUUCCCCAAAACAGCGCCCCCGUCUGCAGAAAGUGGUUAAGAUUGGUCUUAGUCCUUAUCCUUAAUCUAACGGGAGUUAGAUAUACUUCUUUAGACGGGGGAA
rnacentral:lncRNA from 1 species